UGAAACAUUGGUCACACUAUAUAAAGUUUGUAUAUGUGAAUCAGUGUAACUCAUACCCAUGUAACUGGGGGUCUGACUGUAUUUGGAUUUUUCUGAUAAGGCAUCAUGGGCUAAGGAAAAGAGCACUGGGCUGAGACUCAGGAGACCUUGUUUCUAGCCCCAGCUGUACCUCUAAUUGUAAUCUUGGCUAUUUCUUCAUAGCCAGAUACAGCUUUUGCUACUUCUAAUUUUGUGUAUAGGAAGUUCUGGAUGAUAGAAGACACCAGGUAUCCAGAGUACAAGUUUUACUGAAUCAGAAUUGCAGCUCUGCAAAAAAGCUGCUGCUCCUUGGUAUGAUUGUAAGUUGUGUUAGAAAGAAGUGACUUGCUAUUUGGAAGAAUGAGAAUGCCAUAGCUGGUUCUUCCCACUGUCAGUUUUGGUUGAGUACACUUUCUUUCCUUUCCUUAUGAAUAAAUAUAUUCGUGAAAGUUUGAUGUGUAUCGGAUUAUAUUAAAUGUUUUCAAAACAUAAUGAAUUUAAGUUAAGACAUAGUGAGUCUUUAUAUGAGUGAAUUAUGUACUUUGAAUUGUAUAGAUAUGAAGUAAAUUAAACAGUGUGUUUAUUUAGAAGGGAACAUGGGGUACUUUUUUAGGUUCAUUCCAAAAGAGUUCCUCUAGGUGAGUUUUAGGUAGAAUUCUAAAGGAACAAUAAAGGUAGGUGGGAGAAGUUAGUAGAGUUGGUGAGAAAAUUUGAGAAGGGUGCAAAAGUAAUAAAAUUGGUUCUUUAGUAUGAUAGCCACUGUGCAGCAGUAGUCACCUGCUUUCCUUGGUUCCACAUGAAGACAUAAUGAUUUACUAGUACAGGGGAGGUCUUCUGCCCUGCCCUGUCCUAGACUAUAAAUUGGCCAUGGGUCUUUACAUGGCCAAUUUGUGGAUCAGUAGCUUAUAUUUGAAGAAAUGGUAAUAAGAGGGUGGAACAUUUCUCUGCAUUUGAGGACUCAAGGGCACAGGGAAACAAAAAGCUUUAAGUAUUUAGUUAUAUAUCUCUCUUUCUAGCUCUGGCUUUCCUUUCACUGAAGAGGUAUGGCUUUUAUUUUAGAGGGAAUGUGCCUAUCCUGUCCCAAGCCAACAGUGAUAUGUGGCCCCUAACGAGGGUACCUGUGGGGAGAGCUUUGGUCGUCACAUGGGUGAAUAUGGGAGGGCUUUCCCCCAUUUAUAAAUGGGUUGUUUUUGUUUGCUUUGUGUGCUGUGCUAUUGGGUUUUCUCCUCUGUUUUCCCUAAGUUGAGCUUUAAGCUAAUUCUGUACAAAAUUCUGUACAACUAAUUAGUUAUUUUUAUAAAUUGCUUGCGAUUAAUGCCUGAUAAUAUGCAGUAAAAUAAAGGUAUCUGCAUACCAUUAUGUAUGUCAAAUAUUACAAACUUUAAGGUUCUUUUGAAAUUAUAAUACUAAACUCAGUUCACUUUU